UCAGAGAAGGGAAGAACCUGAAACCAUGGGAGGAGCUGAAAUCUCUCGAGGACAAUGUUGGUGACCCCUGGAAGGAGGAUUAAAGACUGGACCUGGAGGAGACCAGCAGUUCCAGGGAGCCUCAGGAUUCUGCACACUGUCUAAGCCCUUUGGAUGUCUAGCUACGUCCCCAGGUUGGCAUAGACUCAACAGGUAAGAAUUUGGAUUGUUCAUAUUUAAGGUUCAGACAUAUACAAUGUCCAUAUAUGAUGGACAUUGAGGUUGUGGGGAAAGAGAGCAUUGGAAGCCAGAUUACAAUGAGGACAAGGAAUUACUGAGAGAAAAUAUCACUGCCGGAGUGGAGGGAGGCAAGCACAGAGGAUCAGGCCGGUAAACUGGUGUGAAGGUAAGGGGCACUAGUUGUGGGCAUAGUGUAGAGCUCUUCUUAGCGAACUUUCACCUGGCCCCUGGGUAAAUCCUAAAAACCAUUUCGGUAAGACACUAGGGUAACUCUGUGGUAGGAUUGUUCCUUUCCAAGCAAAGUGGGAUAAGAGAGA
rnacentral:lncRNA from 1 species